rnacentral:lncRNA from 1 species
CGGAGAAGAAGAAUUUUGUGCGUCGCAUAAGGAGGACGGUGGUACGAAGUGUUGAUUAUACGUCUCGAUUUGGAUUACGGGUGAGCUUUCCAGAAGAAAAUACCACGGGGAUUAAGCCGUGAAGGAUGCCGCCGGACGAGAAGUGGGAAAUUCUGAAGCGUUGACAGAGAACCCAAGCAUCC